rnacentral:tRNA from 1 species
UGCCGAGGUAGCUCAGUUGGUAGAGCGCCUGACUGUUAAUCAGGUAGCCACAGGUUCGAGUCCCGUCCUCGGCGCUUG